GACAGAGGGUGCAAGCGUUGUUCGGAAUCAUUGGGCGUAAAGCGCGCGUAGGCGGCCUUGUAAGUCGGAUGUGAAAGCCCAGGGCUCAACUCUGGACGUGCAUCCGAAACUACAUGGCUUGAGUCCCGGAGAGGGUGGUGGAAUUCCCAGUGUAGAGGUGAAAUUCGUAGAUAUUGGGAGGAACAUCGGUGGCGAAGGCGGCCACCUGGACGGAGACUGACGCUGAGGUGCGAAAGCGUGGGUAGCAAACAGG
rnacentral:misc_RNA from 1 species